CUUUACUCCGCGGCCUCUCCGGAAAAUCGGAAUUACUAUUCACUUAAGUCAGACUUCCGGGUCGCGUAACUUCUCCGUUUUAACUCGUUUUCUCCUGAAAUUUGACGAGUACACUUAUAAUUAUAUUACACACAAGAACAUCGUCAAACAAAAGGGUUUAAUCAAUAAAUCAAAAAUCUCAGUUAUUACAUCCCCCUUUGAAACUCUCUCAAC
rnacentral:lncRNA from 1 species